rnacentral:rRNA from 1 species
CUGGCGGCGUGCCUAACACAUGCAAGUCGAACGGACGAGGGGAGCUUGCUCCCCAAGUUAGUGGCGGACGGGUGAGUAACACGUGAGCAACCUGCCCUUCGGAGGGGGACAACAGCGGGAAACUGCUGCUAAUACCGCAUAACGUAUUCUGGAGGCAUCUCCGGGAUACCAAAGAUUUUAUCGCCGAAGGAUGGGCUCGCGUCUGAUUAGAUAGUUGGCGGGGCAACGGCCCACCAAGUCUACGAUCAGUAGCCGGACUGAGAGGUUGAACGGCCACAUUGGGACUGAGAUACGGCCCAGACUCCUACGGGAGGCAGCAGUGGGGAAUAUUGGGCAAUGGGGGGCAACCCUGACCCAGCAACGCCGCGUGGAGGAAGAAGGCUUUCGGGUUGUAAACUCCUUUGACGAGGGACGAUAGUGACGGUACCUCGAAAACAAGCCACGGCUAACUACGUGCCAGCCGCUGC